AAGUUGCAGUGUCACGUUAGCCCCUAAUGAUUUGUAUAAACGUUGGCUUUCUUUCUGCUGUUGUGUCGAAUUCUUUCUGGAACUUCCAGCUUUCAUUUUGAGCAACUGUUUCGCUGAUAUUGAACUGGUGGGAUCUGCCAACAUAUUUUAGUGUAGAUCGCGGAAGUGCAGUUGGAAGUGUAUUAAGAGGGAGUACUCGGAAUUUAUCGACCUCUCCUUACCUCCUUUAGUAAUGCUGGGCUUUGCUUUGGAGCUGAGGAGCUGCACUGGCCCCUGGAACCGGAGCUGGCGACUGUUUCGGGAAGAUUUCUGGAAAUGCAACAGUUGCAGCCAGACAAGAACACUUACCACAUACAGAAAACUUCAUUAUCCAGUAAUUAUCCCAACGAAGCCAACCCUCACUACCAGUUAUGUUCAUGGUGCUGUGGAUAUCCCACUCAUUUCCAAAAGCAUUGGUCAGUGCCUUGAAGAAAUAGCCAAUAAGAGCCCUGAUAAAGAGGCUAUGGUGUUUCUGCAGGAUGGAAUCAGGAAAACAUUUGGACAAUUCAAACAGGAGGUUGACCAAAUGGCUGCAGGACUGCUCGCCAUUGGACUGGAGAAAGGAGACCGGCUAGGCAUGUGGGGACCAAAUAUGUAUGAGUGGGUAUUGAUGCAGUUUGCAACAGCACAAGCUGGUAUCAUUUUGGCUAAUAUUAAUCCAGCAUACCAGGCUCGUGAGGUGGAGUUUGUGCUGAGGAAGGUUGGCUGUAAGGCUCUGGUCUGUCCCACAAAGUUUAAGACCCAAAUUUACUAUGACAUCAUUAAGCAAUGUUGUCCAGAAUUGGAAAAAGCCACUCCUGGGGACCUGAGGAGCAAAAGACUUCCAGAUCUGAGGACAAUCAUCAUGAUUGGUAGUAAGCCUCCUGGAACGUACAGCUUUGAUGAGGUCUUUAAUGCAGCUUCAAGCAGCCAUCAAGAGCUACUACUGAGACUCCAAAAGAAAAUCAGUUUUGAUGACCCAAUAAACAUCCAAUUCACCUCGGGCACAACCGGAAAUCCCAAAGGAGUUACCCUUUCCCAUCAUAACAUUGUCAACAAUGCUCGUUUCAUAGGAUACAGGAUGGGUUACGAUUGGCGGAAUGCUCGGAUCAGUUCUCCAGUGCCACUCUUUCACUGCUUUGGUUGUGUAGGAGCUACUAUGAACAUGAUCAUUUAUGGCUGCAUGGUGGUAUUUAGCUCUCCACAUUUUGACGGACGGGCCUGUCUUGAGGCAGUCCAGCGAGAAAGGUGUACGGUUAUUUACGGGACACCAACAAUGUACCUUGACAUGCUGAACCAGAAGGUCUUCUCUACUAUUGACUUGUCAACACUUGAAGCAGCAAUCGUUGCUGGUGCUUCAUGUCCUGUUGAAGUGGCCAGGAAAAUCCAAAGUGAAAUGAACAUCACUGAAUUUGUUGGGGCAUAUGGAAUGACAGAGAACAGCCCAGUCACAUUUCAAGGAUUCCCAAUGGAUGAAAUAACACGGAAACUAGAAACAGUUGGAUAUGUUGCCCCUCACAUCGAGGCCAAGGUUGUGCAUCUUCAAAGUGAGGAAGUUCUUCCCUUGAACACAGCAGGGGAGCUGUGGAUCCGGGGAUACACUGUUAUGUUGGGAUACUGGGAUGAACCAGAAAAGACAAGGGAAUGUAUCACCCCAGAAGGCUGGUUCAAAACAGGUGAUAUUGCCAAACUCGAUGCUUAUGGUUACUGUCGGAUUGUUGGCCGAUGUAAAGAUAUAGUUAUCCGUGGAGGAGAGAACAUUUAUCCAGCAGAAGUGGAAGCAUUUCUGCACACACAUCCAAAAAUACAUGAAGUCCAGGUGGUAGGAGUGUUUGAUUACAAGAUGGGUGAAGAGCUCUGUGCCUGUGUGAAAGUGAACGACGGAAUGGAAUGUACAGCUGAGGAGAUUAAAACGUACUGUAAAGGACAGAUCUCCCAUUUCAAGAUCCCACGGUACAUGGUGUUUGUCAAUGAUUUCCCUCGGACUCCCACUGGGAAGAUUCAAAAAUACAAACUGAAGGAGCAAAUGGAAGUACAACUGGGACUUGGGCCUAAGUAAUGAAAGGUCACAUCAUUGUCACAGAGGGAAAUACCACGACCCCUUUCAUACCUAAAAUCUUUUGAUUAUACUGUCUAUAUAAGUGCUGUACCAUAGACAAUCCUUCCUUAUUAUAAAAUACAUCUUUCAUGGGCUCCGUUCUAUUGUGCAUUCUACUCAAUAACACUUAAUCCAUCUGAAAAAGUCUUAUAAACUCUUCACGAUUUUUAAAUUCCAUAAAAUAUAGCUCAUUCCAGCAUUGUGUAAUCUGCAAUAUUCUAUCCUUGGCCUGUCAUCUUCUUCCCUCCUGUGACCCUAUAUAAUGUCAUUUGAACCUCUCCGUCAUUACAUCAGAAAGUUGAGGGAAUGUUUUGAGAAAAUAACUCAAUGUCCCUGUCCAUGAAGAAAAGCUUUGACCUUUUCCAUCAAAACAACAGGUGAAAGUAGGAAUAAAGGUGGUGCAAUUAAAUUUGGUUCUUGGGGCACAGUUUGGGUGGAAUACUGGCUACCAUUCUUUGCAUUAGUAUGUUGUUGGUAAAACCUCCUGUGGGUGUGAAAGUGUUAAACAGUAAAGAAACCGUUCUAUCAGUACAGUUCUAGUUUAAUCUGAGCAUUGUGUUUGCUCUCCCUUCGUUUAUCCUUUUCUGCUGCUUAUGUCAGAAGGAAGAGUUUAAUUCUAUAUAGUUAUCCUAUGCACUUACAGUAACACACAUUAGUUUAUAAUUUUCACACUUUCUACAUCAUUUGUGUACAGCAACUCAGUGGGAUUGAUUUCUUUCUCCCCUCGGUGCUGUGAUUGAGGUGCGUCUGUCCUCUUUCUUAGAGCAAGUUUUUGUUUAAUUGCUGUGGUGAAAUCAUCGCUUGGUACACAUUUGCCCUUGGCAAGAGCCUGGGAGCCUGAAGGUCUCACCCAUUGCCUCUGGGCCUUUGAUCUCUAUUUUAAAUGAGGGGUUUGGGACAAGUGCCAACGCCUACUUAUUUGAGUCACUGCAAGUGGUGACCCCUGAGACCAAGGUGGGAAAGAAGAGAGCAUCCUCCCCUCGGUGAAACCAAUUCUGACAUAAAUACCCCAUCCACUUUCUCACAGAAGUGUGCGCAAAGCAGAUUUGUAAUCCAUACAUUUAUAGAAUUUGAUCAGACACUGCUCUAUAAUUCACUGCUUUUGUUCAUUAAAACUAUGAAUAUUAAUCCGGGACAUAUACAAUAUGGCUCUAAUCAUUAACCUGUUCAAUUGGCUCUAAAAUUUGUUUCUUGUAGUUUGCCAAAUAUCUUGUAGUUUGCCAAAUGACAGUGCUCCUUCCAAUCUCAGUUAGGCACUGCACGAAUGGUAAAUAUGAAUAUAUAACCACAAAGUAAUACAUGUUGGGAUGUUGCGUAAGUGUAAGGUUUGGGUUGUGUGCUCGAGUCAGCCUUGCAUGACUGCGACCUGUCAGGUGACAAAAGGUGAAGAAAGACGACCAUGGCACAAUAUGAUGGUCUGCAGCAACCCAGAAGACAAUUGUGGCAGAUUCUGAUUGGUUAAGGGGAUAUAAGGUAGGCUUAGUGCGAUUGGUUAUGCUAAUGUACCGGGAUAGGGCGUGGCUUUUAGAACAGCAUAAACAUUAGAGUGCUCUCGCAGUUUGUGGGCUUUUGGGGUUGACUUCUCUCUUGGCCACAACUUUUGUUUGCAAAUAAAGGCUUAUUAUCUUGAGGAAUUCUCUGUAUCUCCUGGUCAUUCCUAAAUGGUGCUAUCAACCACAACAGAAUUGGUGCUGUGAGCAGGGUCAGAAAGAGACCUAUACAAAGGAGGUUAGCAGCCUGAGGAUGUUUCCUGGUCCAUCGUGGACCCUCCCAGGCCUGACAGAAUAAGGGCUGGCCACCCACAAAAAGAGAUAAGCAUCUUCUUGAUAAUUCAGAUUAAAUUCUGUUAAGUGAGGGAGGUCUUCAGGGAUGCAGAAAAGCUGCUGAAAAGUCUCUCCGAUCCAAAAAAAAGAGUUAAUAAUAAAUUGAAAUUUGAGGAGACUCAUAGGAUUAGUCAAGUAAACUGUGCAGUGAGAUAAGUAGGAAUAGAAAGUAGAAAUUGUCUGAUAUAAAAUUCCACAUGGUAUUAGUAAGUCCUUAUGGAUACUGCCUCACUGGUCACAAGGGUCUGCACAAGCAGGGCAGUGUUAGUAAGUCCCUCUGGAUACCGCCUCGCCGGUCAUGAGGUUCUGCACGAGCAGGGUAGUGUUAGUACGUCCCUGUGGAUACCGCCUCACCGGUUGCGAGAGCCUGCUCAGGCAUGGCAGUGUAGUGUUAGUAAGUCCCUGUGGAUACCACCUCGCCAGUCGCAAGGGUCUGCACAGGCAUGGCAGUGUGUGUGUGUGUUUGUGUGUGUGUGUGUGUGAGAAAGAGAGAGAGAGAGAGAGAGAGAGACUCUGACUCAGUGCUGAUUCAGGGUAGCUUACAGAAAGUUUGCCCCUUUGUGGUCCGGUUUGAAUGCACAUUUGCUUGUUGGUGAUUGAAUGUUUGUGCUUUAUUCCCUGGAGCUCAAGAUCGGGAGUGUUUUGAAUUUAAUUUGCACUUUGGAAAUUUAAGAUGAUUUCUUUCAAGGGUUUUAAGGAAUCAUCAAUGAUUAUGAAAUGCAAAUUUUGUAAAAAAAAAAGUAAUACUAAUGAAAUGUUAACCCACCCAUUCUUCUUACAGACCAUGAUUGCUCUACUGUCAAUUUCUAACUCGUCACAUUUUAUGUUUACAUGACAGCCAAUCUUAUUUAAAUUCAAAUCAGUUUAAUAUGGAGGAAGAUGACUUUACAAUUUUACACCAGUAUAAACAUGCUCUCAAAUCCCCCAUAAUUUUAUGCUACUGCCAAAGAUCAAUUUCACCCCCUUCACCUCAUUGGACUAAUCAAAGAUUUGACAAAAGGCAGUAAAAGCAGUAACACUGUAAAUCCUGGCCUCAGCAGGUGUCUGCUUAAUUUCUUUUGAUAACAUUGCGGAAAAUCACCUCAGACUUUAACAUUUGCUCAUUGAGUCGAGGAAUUAAUGAACUUUAUAGAAUUUAGUUAAAAAAUAUUUAGAACUGAAAGUAUAAAGAUAGAUCCAAAAUAUCGCAAACCAAUAACAUCGUUUUCAGAAACUUAUGAACAUUUUGUUUCGGGACUCGUUUGUUUCCACUUAAGACUGCUGCAUCUCAUUGAUGAUUAUGGAGUGCCAAUCGUGGCUUUACUCUAUAUCAAUUUCCCUCCCUCACUGAGAAUUGAAGUUUUGGUUGAACAUUAUGUUGUGAAAAUCAUGUAAUAAAACUUAAUAUCCUAUUGUUAA